UAGGGAAUCUUCCGCAAUGGGCGAAAGCCUGACGGAGCAACGCCGCGUGAGUGAUGAAGGUCUUCGGAUCGUAAAACUCUGUUAUUAGGGAAGAACAAAUGUGUAAGUAACUAUGCACGUCUUGACGGUACCUAAUCAGAAAGCCACGUCUAACUACGUGCCAGCAGCCGCGGUAAUACGUAGGUGGCAAGCGUUAUCCGGAAUUAUUGGGCGUAAAGCGCGCGUAGGCGGUUUUUUAAGUCUGAUGUGAAAGCCCACGGCUCAACCGUGGAGGGUCAUUGGAAACUGGAAAACUUGAGUGCAGAAGAGGAAAGUGGAAUUCCAUGUGUAGCGGUGAAAUGCGCAGAGAUAUGGAGGAACACCAGUGGCGAAGGCGACUUUCUGGUCUGUAACUGACGCUGAUGUGCGAAAGCGUGGGGAUCAAACAGG
rnacentral:rRNA from 1 species